rnacentral:rRNA from 1 species
UACCAGCACCCCGAGUGGUCGGGACGAUUAUUGGGCCUAAAGCAUCCGUAGCCGGUCCUGCAAGUCUUCCGUUAAAUCCAGCUGCUCAACAGAUGGGCUGCGGGGGAUACUACAGGGCUAGGAGGCGGGAGAGGCAAGCGGUACUUUAUGGGUAGGGGUAAAAUCCGUUGAUCCAUAGAAGACCACCAGUGGCGAAGGCGGCUUGCCAGAACGCGCUCGACGGUGAGGGAUGAAAGCUGGAGGAGCAAACCGG